rnacentral:rRNA from 1 species
UACAGCGGGGGCGAGCGUUGUUCGGAAUUACUGGGCGUAAAGGGCUCGUAGGCGGCCAACUAAGUCAGACGUGAAAUCCCUCGGCUUAACCGGGGAACUGCGUCUGAUACUGGAUGGCUUGAGGUUGGGAGAGGGAUGCGGAAUUCCAGGUGUAGCGGUGAAAUGCGUAGAUAUCUGGAGGAACACCGGUGGCGAAGGCGGCAUCCUGGACCAAUUCUGACGCUGAGGAGCGAAAGCCAGGGGAGCAAACGGG